rnacentral:RNase_P_RNA from 1 species
CCACCAGAUUGCAUAAUCGCGUGCUUUGCAUGAGGAAAGUCCGAGCACCAUUAAUGGACGCUGGAUAACGUCCAGUGGAGGCGACUCUAAGGAAAGUGCAACAGAAAUAAACCGCCUAUUUUAUAGGUAAGGAUGGAAGGGUGAGGUAAGAGCUCACCAGCAUUGCAGUGAUGUAAUGGCUCUGCAAACCCCGUUCGGUGCAAGACCAAAUUAGGCUUUAGCCAUGGUAGGUCGCAUGAUUGUACUGGCAACUUUACAACUAGAUAGAUGAUUAUGUUUAACAGAACUCGGCUUAUAGAUCUGGUAGAAGA